rnacentral:rRNA from 1 species
CCUACGGGUGGCAGCAGUAGGGAAUUUUCGUCAAUGGGCGCAAGCCUGAACGAGCAAUGCCGCGUGAACGAGGAAGGUCUUCGGAUCGUAAAGUUCUGUUGAAGGGGAAAAAGAGCGGAGAGAGGAAAUACUUUCUGAUUGCUAUUACCCUUCGAGGAAGUCACGGCUAACUACGUGCCAGCAGCCGCUGUAAUACGUAGGUGGCGAGCGUUAUCCGGAAGGGUUGGGCGUAAAGGGUGCGUAGGCGGCCUGCUAAGUCUGGAGGGAAAGGUAACGGCUCAACCGGUACAGGCUAUGGAAACUGGGGGGCUAGAGGGCAGGAGAGGGCGGUGGAAAUGCGUGGGGAGCGGUAAAAUGCGU